GAGUCCGCCAAGCCCCCGGCAUGCUGUGCGGCGCGCCUGGCGUGCACCUUGGAGUGCGGAGCUGGCACCUUGGCGCCGUGGACGGCGGCGGGGACAGCUGUAGAGUGUGAAGUUCCUUGUCUGCUGGCAGCCAGAGGCGACGAGUCUGGAUGUCAUGGAAGUGUGUUUCAGUUACUAACUGAUCUGAAAGAACAGCGUAAAGAAAGUGGAAAGAAUAAACACAGCUCUGGACAACAGAACUUGAACACCAUCACCUAUGAAAGACGGGGUCUUGAUGUGUUGCCCAGGCUGGUCUUGAACUCCUGGGCUCAAGCAGUCCGCCCACCUCAGCUUCUCAAAGUGCUGGGAUGACAGGUAUGAACCACUGCAACUGGCCCAAAGACGUAUUUUUACCUAUAGUGUAGUUCAGCCUUAAGACUGUACCAGCAGAUAGAGAUGGAAAAGUAAUGUAAAGCGAAUAUCAAAUUAUGUUUACAAAUGAAGCAGUUGCUCAUUAAGGUUUUUUCAAAAACCUCCUUUUUUAUUCUGGGUUACAUCAUUCCCUGGCUG